rnacentral:rRNA from 1 species
UACGUAGGGCGCGAGCGUUGUCCGGAAUUAUUGGGCGUAAAGAGCUCGUAGGCGGCCGUGUGCGUCUGCUGUGAAAUCCCGGGGCUUAACCCCGGGCGUGCAGUGGAUACGGGCCGGCUGGAGGCAGGCAGGGGAGAAUGGAAUUCCCGGUGUAGCGGUGAAAUGCGCAGAUAUCGGGAGGAACACCGGUGGCGAAGGCGGUUCUCUGGGCCUGUACUGACGCUGAGGAGCGAAAGCGUGGGGAGCGAACAGG